GGACUACCGGGGUAUCUAAUCCUGUUCGCUCCCCACGCUUUCGCUCCUUAGCGUCAGUUCCGGCCCAGAGACCCGCCUUCGCCACCGGUGUUCCUCCUGAUAUCUGCGCAUUUCACCGCUACACCAGGAAUUCCAGUCUCCCCUACCGGACUCUAGCCUGCCCGUAUCGACUGCAGGCCCGGGGUUGAGCCCCGGGUUUUCACAGCCGACGCGACAGGCCGCCUACGAGCUCUUUACGCCCAAUAAUUCCGGACAACGCUUGCACCCUACGUAUUACCGCGGCUGCUGGCAC
rnacentral:rRNA from 1 species